rnacentral:rRNA from 1 species
GACAGAGGUGCCAAGCGUUAGGCGGAAUCACUGGGCUUAAAGCGCGUGUAGGCGGGUCGUUAAGUACCUUGUGAAAUCCCACGGCUCAACCGUGGAACUGCUGGGUAUACUGGCGAUCUUGAGGCAUCUAGGGGCAGCUGGAACAAGUGGUGGAGCGGUGAAAUGCGUAGAUAUCACUUGGAACGCCGAAGGUGAAGACAAGCUGCUGGGGAUGAACUGACGCUGAGACGCGGAAGCCAGGGGAGCGAACGGG